ACGCCGUAAACGGUGGGCGCUAGUUGUGCGAACCUUCCACGGUUUGUGCGACGCAGCUAACGCAUUAAGCGCCCCGCCUGGGGAGUACGGUCGCAAGACUAAAACUCAAAGGAAUUGACGGGGGCCCGCACAAGCGGCGGAGCAUGCGGAUUAAUUCGAUGCAACGCGAAGAACCUUACCAAGGCUUGACAUAUAGAGGAAACGUGCAGAAAUGUACGCCCCGCAAGGUCUCUAUACAGGUGGUGCAUGGUUGUCGUCAGCUCGUGUCGUGAGAUGUUGGGUUAAGUCCCGCAACGAGCGCAACCCUCGUCCUAUGUUGCCAGCACGUAAUGGUGGGAACUCAUGGGAGACUGCCGGGGUCAACUCGGAGGAAGGUGGGGAUGACGUCAAAUCAUCAUGCCCCUUAUGUCUUGGGCUUCACGCAUGCUACAAUGGCCGGUACAGAGGGCUGCAAUACCGCAAGGUGGAGCGAAUCCCAAAAAGCCGGUCUCAGUUCGGAUUGGGGUCUGCAACUCGACCCCAUGAAGUCGGAGUCGCUAGUAAUCGCAGAUCAGCAACGCUGCGGUGAAUACGUUCCCGGGCCUUGUACACACCGCCCGUCAAGUCACGAAAGUCGGUAACACCACGAAGCCGGUGGCCUAACCGUAAGGAAGGAGCCGUCGAAG
rnacentral:rRNA from 1 species